rnacentral:rRNA from 1 species
GAUGAACGCUGGCGGCGUGCCUAAUACAUGCAAGUCGAGCGAACAGACGAGGAGCUUGCUCCUCUGACGUUAGCGGCGGACGGGUGAGUAACACGUGGAUAACCUACCUAUAAGACUGGGAUAACUUCGGGAAACCGGAGCUAAUACCGGAUAAUAUAUUGAACCGCAUGGUUCAAUAGAGAAAGACGGUUUUGCUGUCACUUAUAGAUGGAUCCGCGCCGCAUUAGCCAGUUGGUAAGGUAACGGCUUACCAAGGCGACGAUGCGUAGCCGACCUGAGAGGGUGAUCGGCCACACUGGAACUGAGACACGGUCCAGACUCCUACGGGAGGCAGCAGUAGGGAAUCUUCCGCAAUGGGCGAAAGCCUGACGGAGCAACGCCGCGUGAGUGAUGAAGGUCUUCGGAUCGUAAAACUCUGUUAUUAGGGAAGAACAAAUGUGUAAGUAACUAUGCACGUCUUGACGGUACCUAAUCAGAAAGCCACGGCUAACUACGUG